UGCAGCCGAGCGGUAGAGUUUCUUCGGGNACUUGAGAGCGGCGUACGGGUGCGGAACACGUGUGCAACCUGCCUUUAUCAGGGGGAUAGCCUUUCGAAAGGAAGAUUAAUACCCCAUAAUAUUUAGAAUGGCAUCAUUUUAAAUUGAAAACUCCGGUGGAUAGAGAUGGGCACGCGCAAGAUUAGAUAGUUGGUGAGGUAACGGCUCACCAAGUCUGCGAUCUUUAGGGGGCCUGAGAGGGUGAUCCCCCACACUGGUACUGAGACACGGACCAGACUCCUACGGGAGGCAGCAGUGAGGAAUAUUGGACAAUGGGUGGGAGCCUGAUCCAGCCAUCCCGCGUGAAGGACGACGGCCCUAUGGGUUGUAAACUUCUUUUGUAUAGGGAUAAACCUACCCUCGUGAGGGUAGCUGAAGGUACUAUACGAAUAAGCACCGGCUAACUCCGUGCCAGCAGCCGCGGUAAUACGGAGGGUGCAAGCGUUAUCCGGAUUUAUUGGGUUUAAAGGGUCCGUAGGCGGAUCUGUAAGUCAGUGGUGAAAUCUCACAGCUUAACUGUGAAACUGCCAUUGAUACUGCAGGUCUUGAGUGUUGUUGAAGUAGCUGGAAUAAGUAGUGUAGCGGUGAAAUGCAUAGAUAUUACUUAGAACACCAAUUGCGAAGGCAGGUUACUAAGCAACAACUGACGCUGAUGGACGAAAGCGUGGGGAGCGAACAGGAUUAGAUACCCUGGUAGUCCACGCCGUAAACGAUGCUAACUCGUUUUUGGUAUUUCGGUAUCAGAGACUAAGCGAAAGUGAUAAGUUAGCCACCUGGGGNAGUACGUUCGCAAGAAUGAAACUCAAAGGAAUUGACGGGGGGCCCGCACAAGCGGUGGAUUAUGUGGUUUAAUUCGAUGAUACGCGAGGAACCUUACCAAGGCUUAAAUGGGAAAUGACAGGUUUAGAAAUAGACUUUUCUUCGGACAUUUUUNCAAGGUGCUGCAUGGUUGUCGUCAGCUCGUGCCGUGAGGUGUUAGGUUAAGUCCUGCAACGAGCGCAACCCCUGUCACUAGUUGCCAUCAUUAAGUUGGGGACUCUAGUGAGACUGCCUACGCAAGUAGAGAGGAAGGUGGGGAUGACGUCAAAUCAUCACGGCCCUUACGCCUUGGGCCACACACGUAAUACAAUGGCCGGUACAGAGGGCAGCUACACAGCGAUGUGAUGCAAAUCUCGAAAGCCGGUCUCAGUUCGGAUUGGAGUCUGCAACUCGACUCUAUGAAGCUGGAAUCGCUAGUAAUCGCGCAUCAGCCAUGGCGCGGUGAAUACGUUCCCGGGCCUUGUACACACCGCCCGUCAAGCCAUGGAAGUCUGNNGGUACCUGAAGUCGGUGCACCGUAACAGAGC
rnacentral:rRNA from 1 species